UCCCCCUUUCCAAACCCGCAUACAGCCUCACAAGACAAUGUCCCUCCUUCAAAUCGACCCCCAUUCAUCCUUACAAGGAAGAGACAGUUGUCAGGGGGAAUCAACAUUCCAGUAAAGAAGAGGCAAGGGAAGGGCAAGGGCCAGAUAGGAAUCGCAGACACCAUCUUCUUUACAAGUCUAAGGAGACUUCACCCUCUCUAGGCACAUGCUGCUGGCUAGAGCACUCACUUAGAAUCUCAUAUGGAGCAUGGCUACACCCGCAUCACCGGCCUCCACCACCACCCUCAGAUCCUGGGACCUCUACCCACCUACCAUCUGCUCUGCCUCCCUCCACAGCAAGGUCAAUGCUUGAAACUCGUAAUGAAGCUUAUUGCUCACCAAGGACCAGGCACCCUUCUAAACAACAGAAGUCAUUAACUCAUUUAAUCUUCACAACAGCUCUCGAGAGCAAGCUUCUCUGCUCUGUGUUCUACAGAGGACAUCCGUGGUGCGCGGAAACUGAACACAUCGGAGACAGCCACAGAGCUCCUAAGUAGCGGUGCCUGGGUUUGAACCUGUUGAAUGUGGCUUGCAGCCACCGUUUCAGGGCAGCGCGGUGCUGUUUCUGAUCUCCUGUGCCGUGCAUGCAAUGGUCGGGUGAGGGGUGUCCGGCAAAUGCGAGAAAUAAAAAAAUCCAGAGAUUGAUAGUGAGACUGUAA
rnacentral:lncRNA from 1 species